rnacentral:lncRNA from 1 species
GGGGGUCUUGCUUAACCUCUCAAUAUGGUCUCUACAGGUUCUCCCUCCCAUUUGUUAGGCAUUCUAGCUAAUCUCUAGUCAACUUUCAUUUGUGAGGAAUAUUUUAUGGAUCUACCAUGAGGACCUGAGUUCAAAUCCCAAGAACCCACAUAUAAAUGAGUGAUUAGGGCUCUCACUGGAGAUUGCUGGCCACUGAUUUAGCUUCAAUUUCUGUUAGAGACCUUAUUUUAAGGGAAUAAAGUAGGCAGCAUCAAAAACAGCUACCUAAUAUCCUCCUCUGUUCUCUGGGCAUGUACAUACAUCACAUACAAAUACUACUCUCUCUCUCUCUCUCUCUCUCUCUCUCUCUCUCACACACACACACACACACACACACACACACACACAAAUACUUCUCUCUCUCUCCCUCUCUCUCCCCCCCUCUCUCACUCCCCUCUCUCUCGCUCACAUAUCUUUCUAUCUUUCCCACCCUUUCUCCUUCUAUCUCUCUUUUUUUCCUACACACACACACACACACACACACACACACACACACACACACACAGAGGACUUUUUGAAUUUUCUAGUUCCAUGUUGCUUAACAGUCUUGGCACCAGUCUGCCUGUUUCAUUCGCUUCAACAUGCAGAAAGAAGAUAUAAGGAUAAAGCUUCAAGACUCAGCUGAGAAAUCUCUGCUAAACAUGGAACAUUAUUAUGGCCACAUGCUAUACACUUUGGCUAAACGUCUUAGCACUGUGUAGCAGGGGUGCUCUUCCAGAAAGUCUCCCUUAACACUUCGCCCACUGCCAUCUACAUCCACAGAUUUCACUUUUCCUGCUGAACUAAGAGAAGUUCAUGAAUUGCUCUGGGAGUAAGAGAAGCUUUGGAAAUGACAAGAAAAUAACAACAAAACCCAAAACAGA